rnacentral:rRNA from 1 species
CAAUUAGUGCUAAGGUAGCAUAAUCAUUUGUCUUUUAAUUAAAGACUAGAACAAAAGAUUUUACAUUUUAAUUUAUUUCUUAAUUUUAUAAAUAUAAAUUACUUUAUAUGUAAAAACUCAUAUAUAUAUAAAAAAGACGAUAAGACCCUGUUGAACUUUACUUUAGUUAAACUGGGGCAGUUAAUUAAUCAUUAUUUUAACUAAAAUAAUUUAACAAAUUUGACCUAAUCAAAUUAAUUUCAUGACCAAGUUACCAUAGGGAUAACAGCGUAAUAAAAUUUUAAAGUCCUAAUUAAAAAUUAAGUUUGCGACCUCGAUGUUGACUUAAUAUCCUAAUUCACGCAAUAGUGAAAAAAGAUAGUCUGUUCG